GGUUGCGUAGUUCAACGGAUAGAAUAGACGUUUCCUAAACGUUUGAUAUGGGUUCGAUUCCCGUCGCGACCA
rnacentral:tRNA from 1 species